CUUACACUUACUUGUUAUUUCACCAAUUCAGCCUCUUGGACUUUCUCUUUGUAUUUGAACAAAUGGGGGUACUUAGAUUUCAUCACUUCUUCCGCUUCCCAUGUUAUUUCUUCUACUUGUUGGUUCCUCCAAAGUACUUUUACAGAAGUUAUUUCUUUAUUCCUUAACUUCUUCACUUGUCGAUCUAGAAUAGCAAUAGGUAUUUCUUCAUAGGUGAGAUAUUCCGUAACUUCUACAU
rnacentral:lncRNA from 1 species